GACGAACGCUGGCGGCGUGCUUAACACAUGCAAGUCGAACGCAGUGGCGAACGGGUGAGUAAUACGUGGGUAACCUGCCCUCCUUUUCGGGAUAAGCCUUGGAAACGGGGUCUAAUAUCGAAUAUAGGGGGAUGGGCUGGCGGCCUGUCGGCUUGUUGGUGGGGUGAUUGGCUACCAAGGCGGUGACGGGUAGCCCGACUGAGAGGGAGACCUGCGACAUGGGGACGGAGAUACGGCCCAGGGGAGGACGCGGUGGAGAAGUGGGGGAUAUUGCAGAAUGUGCGAAAGCCGAAUGCAGCGACACCGCGGGGGGGAUGAGGGCUUUCGGGUUGUAAAGCUCUUUCGGUAUCGAACGGGUAGGUGGAGAAGAAGCGCCGGCUAACUACGUGCCAGCAGCCGCGGUAAUAC
rnacentral:rRNA from 1 species